rnacentral:sRNA from 1 species
CUGCGUUAGGGAUAGAAGUGGCAUACUUCUUGUACUACAUACAGUACAAGAAGAUACAGCGGAUAGCCUGCCUUUGU